rnacentral:ncRNA from 1 species
CCCGCUGAGUUUAAGCAUAUCAAUAAGCGGAGGAAAAAAAACUUACCAGGAUUCCCCUAGUAACGGCGAGCGAACUGGGAAAAGCCUAGCUUGAGAAUCAGGCGCCACCGGCGUCUGAAUUGUAGUCUGGAAAAGCGUCCUCAACGGUGGACUGGGCCCAAGUCCCUUGGAAAGGGGCGCCAGAGAGGGUGAGAGCCCCAUCAUGCCUGGACCCUGUCGCACCACGAGGCGCUAUCUACGAGUCAGGUUGUUUGGGAAUGUAGCCCUAAUCGGGAGGUAAAUUCCGUCCAAAGCUAAAUACGGGCAAGAGACCGAUAGCGAACAAGUACCGCAAGGGAAAGAUGAAAAGGACUUUGAAAAGAGAGUUGGUCGCGUGAUUCGUAACAAGUAAUAAAUAUUUAUAAUGAAGAAAAACCUAGACUAACUAUUAUCACGACGAAAAGACAAGCGCAGCUAUCAAACAAUAGUAUAGCAAUGGCAAGACCGGGAUAUUGUACCUAAGGGAACCAAAAGUACUAGUAAUAACUAUCUUUUUAUUAUUUAACCUAGAAAUAAAGAGGGGUUGUUUAUUAAUGUGAGAUAAAAUUUUAAAGUUUGGCAAAAAGGGCAUUUUGGUCAUUUGGUAAAUAAAAGAAUAAAAAGGGAAAAUCAAGUCAAAAUUGUAUCCAUCUUCUCCUAUCUUGGCCGAAAAUCUCAAGCUCACCAUAACUAGGGUUUUGUCAACUUUCAAGCUUGAUAGUAAGUGCAUUCGAGCCCCGUUUAUAAUGUUCUUUACAUUUUUUAAGUCAUUGUAACUUGAUUUACCUAUUUCUACCAUUAUUUUGAAGUAGGGUUAAUGUUUGAAAUUUUACCCAUUUGUGACAUGC